rnacentral:rRNA from 1 species
UACGAGGGGUGCAAGCGUUGCUCGGAAUUAUUGGGCGUAAAGGGUAGGUAGGUGGUCUCAUUUGUCCGGGGUGAAAGCCUUGAGCUUAACUCAAGAAGUGCCUCGGAAACGGUGAGACUAGAGUCUUGGAGAGGGUCGUGGAAUUCCCGGUGUAGCGGUGAAAUGCGCAGAUAUCAGGAAGAACACCCGUGGCGAAGGCGGCUCUCUGGGACGGUACUGACGCUGAGACGCGAAAGCGUGGGGAGCGAACAGG